rnacentral:lncRNA from 1 species
CUUUCCCAAGCUGCCUGAGUAGAAGGAAACACACAGCUCCCCCAGAGCAGAGAGGCCCGCGAGAGGGAAAGCUGGCCCAGGCCCAGGGCAGGCUCGCCUCUGACUCUGCAGGGACAUUAUUCCCUCCCAGCCAGCAGGGAACUUCUGGAACUUCUAAACAGCACAUCCUCGAGCCAGCCCAGGCCCCCACAGCAUCCUGCACCCCAGGUUUACAAGCUUUUUAAUGAAAUCAGAGCACCACAGCCAGCUCUAGCCCAGAGGGAAAGUAAGAGGAUGUUUCUGCAGCAGCUGUCCUUUCUCCUGUAACUACUAAACUGUCGCCCCUCACUAAAGAGGAUGGCUUUGCCUAUGCUGUCCCCACCCCUUGAAGCGAGCUUCCUCCUCUAUUGGGAUAGGUAACUCUCUUUUCUUCAAUAAUUCUUUAAUGUUAUAAAAUACCUGCCAGUGUUCACAUUUCCCUGAAUGAUUUUUAAUUCUUUUUCCUUUUUUAGUAUGUUUGUUUGAAGUAGGAAUCUAAACAAGAUCUAUAUAUUGUGAUUAAUUGAUAUGUCUCCGAAGUCUC